CAGAAGAAGAGGCAUCAGAAGAACCUUGUCAAGGUCAUGUGAGUCUGUCUCCAUGCCCCAAGCCUUUCCACUAAGCCCUGCCAAGCUAUCAGCUGGAUCUUGACUUCGACUACUGGUCGUUAUCAAAUGAAUAGGAUCAGAGGAGGUGGCAGUGACACUCCCCAGGCCACCAGUACUGGGACACAUCCAGAGCAAACUCGGCACCACAAGCUCCAGGGGUC
rnacentral:lncRNA from 14 species